UCAAAUAUCAAAUAUCAAAUAUCAAACAUUUAUUCAGCAAAUAGGCCACAGGGGCACUUUUACAUGUCCAUUUUUACAAACAAUAAAUUAAAAAAAAAAAACAAUUACAAAUAUCGAAUCUAUGAAAUAAUAAAUAAAACCAUAAAAUACUAAAAUUCUUUAGAGAUGUAUAAGUCUCUAAGUGUCAGAGAUAAAAUAUAAAAAUAUAUAUUAAAUUAUCCUUAGAGAUGUAGAGGGUCGCCAAGGCUUGAAUUCUUAUAUAAAUAAUUAAAAGACAAAAAAAUUAAAACAGACAAGAACCGAAUGAAGUGUCUCACGUUAAUGUCACUCAAAAGUAAAGUUACAUACUUUAACAUAACCUGUACCCCGUGUAAGCUUAAACAGACCGGUCUCCACAAACAGCACCCGUUCACGAGUAUGACGUGUAUCUCAGCCAUCGCCUCCCUCAACCUUCAUUCGGGAAAGUGGCGACCCGAUCAACGACGCCACCGUAAGUAAAGACUUUUAAGCGAGCAUGACAUGUUCAAGCUGCCGGGUUGUAUUAAUAUAAAUAUAAUAAAAAAAUUGUGAGAUACAACAUUUGUGCUUGUAAGUUACAUUAAAGACGGCAUAGCGCCACAUAAACGCGACUACAUAUUAUUCAUAAGGAGUGCCUACCUAUAAAACUAAAUUAUAAAUUUAAAUUGACUUAGAGAUGUACAGGUCUCUAAGUGUCCAAAUCAUUAAAAUAGGUAUUAAAAUAAAAUGAAAUUUAAAAUAAAAUAAAAUUUAAAACAAAAUAAAAUCUUAGAGGUGUAUAAGGUCUCUAAGUGUCCAAAACUAAAAUAAUACCAUCAAACGAGAACAUGAUGUUCUCUUGUGUCAGUUCUACUGGACGCUAGUAUGGUUAUUUCACAGGAAGAAAACGAAAACACUAUUACUGACAUUUUUAUCAUACUGAUACUCAUACUGAUGAUCAUACUGAUGUCGACUUCAACCAGUCUCUCUCCGGGACCGCGAGGGCAAUAUCGCUUUCUUAUUAUUAUUUUACUUAAUCAUUUUUGUAGGUAUAAAUCAUGAAAACUUGAGGAAGUUUUGAGUACCUUGGUACAUAAUAUUUGAGGCAGCUGGGAUAAAAUGACCACUAUUAGGAUUUUAUUGUACUAACAUUUUCUACAUGCUAAAUUUACUAACAUUUUCUACAUGCUAAAUUUCAUUUAAUUGGGUUCUGUACUGUAACUUACCAGUGAUAAAGCAACUAAUAAAAAUUAGGAGCACUGUCUACUCAUUCGGAAUAGAUAACUGUUUUUUAGAAAUUUGUGUAGCCGAAAAAGGGGUCGGCGAACUUUAGGUCAGAGUCAGCUAAAGUAAAAAUCUCAAAAAACUCAUAAACCGCAUGCGGCUCGCGAGAUGCGAUUUACCGACCGACCACUGGCCUAGAAGCUGCAUGUUAUAAAGUCCAAACUUACCGUGUGAUUAAAAUUUGUCCUGGCCGUGAACAUGGCCGACUUCCUCAGCAGCUCGCCACCGAUGCACAUGAGGAAUCCUACUGCCGACAGCAAGAAGCAUGUCUUCAUUUCUGAAAAAGAAAUUAUACUUCUUCGUUAUUAAAGGUCUACCCACACUGCUACUCAAUACCCUGACGCGUUGUAAGCCCUGUGACUCGUGCGCACGUUUUUAACCGCCGGCUGGUGUACUUGGCGUAGUCGCGAACACUGUGUAAUCACUUCUUAGGGUUUUGAAUUAGCUUAAUUUUCGGAAAGAAGAAAUAUUCCACAGCCCACUCCGUCCAGCUGGCUACAGCAGCAAGCCCAUAUUGCAGACUAUGAUUCAAUAUGAACGAGUCAAUGGACAGCGUCCGAGGGUUCGUCAGUGCCACCGCCAUGAACUCUGAGAAGUGGAAAAACGUGAGUGCCAUGGUGUAGAGGCCAAACACCCGCCAACCAGAGUCGAAAGUGCUGAGGUGGACACCGGUAGCAAAGGCAGCACCGAGGAAUGCUGAUCUGACAGACACCUGCAAAUAUAAAUAUAUUUUAUCAUACAAGAUAAAAAUACAGUAGAAUCCAUAAUUUUAUGACUCUGCUUAUACUGAGUGAAGUUUGGUUUUCAUAUCAAAUUCUUUGUAACAACACGUAUAAAAUGACUUCGCCUAUAGUGACAAGUCAUGACCUAUAAAUCCUAUUUUCAUGAAAUUAUGACUGGCUAUACUGACAGUCGCUAGCUUUCGUGGUCAUCCCCACAUCUUUCCCUGUGAAGAUGCUUAGUGCAUGUGUGGCAUGUAAGUUGUUUUAAUUUUAUUCUCAGUGACAAGUUAAUAAUUGGUUGAAAAUGAAUAAACUCAUCAGUCAGAAAGGAAUUUGAGAUUAAUUUGGAAAAUUUUACAUUAUUAAGAAGUUGAGCAAUGACAGUUUUAUAUGACAUCCACAUAGUCUGAUGUUUUUAACACUUCCCUUCAAUGUAAUUAUAUGCGUAUUUUACUGUAUAGCAUGAAAACGAAUAAAAUAUAAAUUUACAAAUGAAA